GACGAACGCUGGCGGCGUGCUUAACACAUGCAAGUCGAACGGAAAGGCCCUGCUUUUGUGGGGUGCUCGAGUGGCGAACGGGUGAGUAACACGUGAGUAACCUGCCCUUGACUUUGGGAUAACUUCAGGAAACUGGGGCUAAUACCGGAUAGGAGCUCCUGCUGCAUGGUGGGGGUUGGAAAGUUUCGGCGGUUGGGGAUGGACUCGCGGCUUAUCAGCUUGUUGGUGGGGUAGUGGCUUACCAAGGCUUUGACGGGUAGCCGGCCUGAGAGGGUGACCGGCCACAUUGGGACUGAGAUACGGCCCAGACUCCUACGGGAGGCAGCAGUGGGGAAUAUUGCACAAUGGGCGGAAGCCUGAUGCAGCAACGCCGCGUGCGGGAUGACGGCCUUCGGGUUGUAAACCGCUUUCGCCUGUGACGAAGCGUGAGUGACGGUAAUGGGUAAAGAAGCACCGGCUAACUACGUGCCAGCAGCCGCGGUGAUACGUAGGGUGCGAGCGUUGUCCGGAUUUAUUGGGCGUAAAGGGCUCGUAGGUGGUUGAUCGCGUCGGAAGUGUAAUCUUGGGGCUUAACCCUGAGCGUGCUUUCGAUACGGGUUGACUUGAGGAAGGUAGGGGAGAAUGGAAUUCCUGGUGGAGCGGUGGAAUGCGCAGAUAUCAGGAGGAACACCAGUGGCGAAGGCGGUUCUCUGGGCCUUUCCUGACGCUGAGGAGCGAAAGCGUGGGGAGCGAACAGGCUUAGAUACCCUGGUAGUCCACGCUGUAAACGGUGGGUACUGGGUGUGGGGUCCAUUCCACGGGUUCCGUGCCGUAGCUAACGCUUUAAGUACCCCGCCUGGGGAGUACGGCCGCAAGGCUAAAACUCAAAGGAAUUGACGGGGCCCCGCACAAGCGGCGGAGCAUGCGGAUUAAUUCGAUGCAACGCGUAGAACCUUACCUGGGUUUGACAUGGAUCGGGAGUGCUCAGAGAUGGGUGUGCCUCUUUUGGGGUCGGUUCACAGGUGGUGCAUGGCUGUCGUCAGCCCGUGUCGUGAGAUGUUGGGUUAAGUCCCGCAACGAGCGCAACCCUUGUUCACUGUUGCCAGCACGUUAUGGUGGGGACUCAGUGGAGACCGCCGGGGUCAACUCGGAGGAAGGUGGGGAUGACGUCAAGUCAUCAUGCCCCUUAUGUCCAGGGCUUCACGCAUGCUACAAUGGCUGGUACAGAGAGUGGCGAGCCUGUGAGGGUGAGCGAAUCUCGGAAAGCCGGUCUCAGUUCGGAUUGGGGUCUGCAACUCGACCUCAUGAAGUCGGAGUCGCUAGUAAUCGCAGAUCAGCAACGCUGCGGUGAAUACGUUCCCGGGGCU
rnacentral:rRNA from 1 species